rnacentral:lncRNA from 1 species
GUUACGGUUACUGACUCAGGAACCUUGUAUAUUAUAUACGUUUAAUAAACUGGAUCCUUGUUGUGUUCAGUUAUCGAUACACUACGAUGGAAUUACGGACCAGUUUAACAUAAACAUGGUAAAUAGAUAGACAGCUGAUAAUCAUAAUUGAUUAAGAAAUAACCUGGAAGAAGAAAUGAGUUAACUAUUGAUUACAACAGAGACGAGAAUGCCAUCGUGUUUGUUCUGCUAAAAAAAGCAGGAACAUUGGAGUUUAUGGUUAGAUUUUAAAUAUUUACUAGAACACACCCGCGAAAUCGCGGGCAUUUAGAGCGUAUUUGAAAGGAUGUAAAGUGUUGUAGGAAGAAUUUUGUAAAAGAUUUAAUAACUUGAGAAUUUCAGGAAAAGUAUCAAAAGUCAUAUGUUAUGUAUCAGUAUGUAUGGUCGGAUUAUGUUUCUGUGUGAAAGAGAGAGUUGUUCCCCUUUUGCCAGUAUCUUGUUGUAUUUAUGUUUGUGACGUCAUUCUUUGUCUGAUUAAAAUGUAGAAAUGGAAGCUGAUGUGUUUUUAUGUGUCCGUAUGUAAUCACCUCCAUCCAUGCUACCAGAGCUAUUCCCCUAGUCUGUAAUAUGGUGGGGACCCGAAACGAUCGUGAAUAAUGAUUUAUACAUAUUUUGGAUUUUAAUUUUUCAUUGGAUUUUGGAUAUUUUUACUUAAAAAGUUGACCGAUUGUUCCUGAUGGAUCCUAGCUGUUAUUCCGCCAUGAUGCUGAUAACUUUUUAUUGAUUUUAAAAAUUAAGCCGAACUUUUAUUAUAGUACCAACAUUUAAAUUGCAUUUUUGAAGAGAAGAACAGACCAUGUCUCGUCUCGUGUACGUACUGACUUUGUGAAUUAUUUAUGAAUGUCUACAUGUAUUCCGUUUUUAACCAGAAAGCACGUGAGAUUUAUCUCAUUGCAUCAUGAUUAUUCGAUUUCCGUAAUAUUUGGAUCCUGUUUAUAUAUAUGCUAUUUUCAUUUGACAUUAUUCAAUUUGCAUCGGUGAUAACUGUAUCGCCAUGCAUAGUCUAAAGUUCCGAUUUCAUCAGAAGAGACAUUUUACAUAACAACUGUUGACCCAGAUUUAUCCGUUGAACCUUCUACACGUGUGAUGUGUAUUGCGUAAUAUGUUGACUGUAUUGCUGUUGUGUUCAUUCCGCCGUAACCUUUAUUUGACUCCGUCUUUUAAAAACGUAAUUAUAUUAACUGUGUUUUGGUGAUAACUGUAUCGCCAUGGUUUUGCAGAUUUCCGAGAAGACCUAUUUUAAAGAAAAGAUGAUGAAUUUAUUCUGUACGAGAACAUUCUAUUUUUAACCAUGUUGAUUUUAUGAAACCAGAUACUUUUCAUGCUAAUUUUGAUCUACGUUAUUUGUUUACUUUGAAAUUAAGCUAAUGUGAAUGUGUUUAUCAUUUAGCGGUGUGAUAUUUAUCAUAAAUAAAACCUUAUUAAAUUUAAGAGUUUAAGGUCUCUGAUGAUACUAUCAAAUUUGUAUUCAGCUAUUUAUAAUGAUAUAUGUUUGUCUAGUAGGAAAUGCCAUUAAUAUGUGUAUCACUGUAAUUGUUGUGUGGAAGUAAUGCGUGCAUAAGGUCAUCCGAGGGAGGAGUCCGAGAUGCCAGACUUUCGGGUUUGCAGCGUUGAUACGUUUGUUUUAAAAUGGUUACUAGAGUGUUGAGAGAUUAACUUUAUUCAUGUGAACUUUUAAUUUUGGAAAUUAUUAUUAAUUGUAUUUUUUUUACACAUAAACAUAUUGACCAUUGUAAAAAUUUAGUAAAUUUUUGCUUUGUGGGCGGGAUGUUAUGUAUCAGUAUGUAUGGUCGGAUUAUGUUUCUGUGUGAAAGAGAGAGUUGUUCCCCUUUUGCCAGUAUCUUGUUGUAUUUAUGUUUGUGACGUCAUUCUUUGUCUGAUUAAAAUGUAGAAAUGGAAGCUGAUGUGUUUUUAUGUGUCCGUAUGUAAUCACCUCCAUCCAUGCUACCAGAGCUAUUCCCCUAGUCUGUAAUACAUAGGUCCUUUAUUUCCAAAAUUCACAUUUUUUGUUUUCUAUUAAUUUCAUUAUGAACAUACAUUUAGUGUACAUGUAUUAUGAACAUUCCAGUCAGGAGCCUGUAAUUCAGUGGUUCAGUGAUAUUUGUUUUUCGUUCAUUUUUUGUACAUAAAUAAGGCUGUUAGUUUUCUCAUUUGAAUUGUUUUACAUUGUCAUUUCAGGGCCUUUUAUAUCAGACUAUGCAGUAUCGGCUUUUGCUUAUUGAUGAAGGCCGUUAGGUGACCUUUAAAUGUUAAUUUUGGUGUCAUUUUGGUCUCUUGUGGAGAGCUGUCUCAUUGGCAUUCAUACCACAUCUUCUUUUUUUUGUAAAACAUUUAGUGACUUGAGUAUUUCAGAAAAGGUAUCAACAGUCAUAGGUAAUUUGGGACAGGAUAAUUGUUUUUCUAGCCCGGCUCCUCCUUUUUCCACAAAAAAAUCCUUUUUUUUGUUUGUUCUCUAUUAAUUUUAAUGACACAUGAAUAAUUUUAGCGCAUAUCUGUAUAUUAUGAACAUUCAUUAAAGGGGGGUCGGGGCAGAGGCGGAUUUAGGGGCGCCCCCCCCCCCUUUUCUGGAAAAUAAUUGGUUGCUUAUAUAGGGAAUCACUGAAGCAUGACCGGAGCGGGCCCCUCUUAGGCAGUCAACGGGCCUCUGCGUAUGAAAAUUUCUGGAUCCGCCACUGCGUAGGGGCCCUGAUCCCAAUAUCCCGGGCUUGAACACAUGAAAUCCCGAGGUUAUGAAUUUAUUAUACAAAUUAUAUAUCUCGACAUCCCGAAAUUCGAAAAAAGAAAUCCUGGAUCCCGAAAUGGUCAAUCCUGAAAUUUCGAUCUUAAAAACACCCGUUCCAGACGUCCCGAAAGUGUAUUUUCUUUUUACAGUCAAUUCUCAGUUUAAUAAUUGAUCCACAGCGGUCAUUGAUAUAUUAUUCAGACCCUCUCUAUUAAAUAAACCCUGUGACUGCCGUGGAUAGUAAACUUGAAAAUGUUAUCAGACAGAAAAUACACUUUAUUCGUAGUAUAUGUAUUUGUUUCAAAGUAAAAAGAAAAACGCAAACUGGAGGUCUUAUCUGACUUAAAUUUCGUCCAAUGAGGGAUAUAAGACAGAAAAUACACUGUAUUCGUAGUAUUAAUGUAUGUUCAAAGUAUAUAGAAAAACGCAAACCGGAAGUCUAAUCUGACUUAAAUUUCGCCCAAUGACGGAAACAUAUCCGGACGUCUUUUGGUGUCAGACCACCAAUUACUCCCUCCAAUUUAGAAGUAUGUAAAAGUAGCCCUACUCUGACACAAAAUAGUGCUUUUGAUGUCCUUGUUUACUUAAACUAACCAACAAAUUUGCAGAAAUGCAACUUUUGGCGAAAGAGAAAUAUAUCUAGAUCAUUUUGAGCCAAAAUUUACUUGUCUAUGAGUUUGCAUUAAAAAUUGAGGAUUAAUGCGCUCCAUAGUAUACUAAUUUUAGAUUUCCAGAAAACCAGGUUGUUGUUUUGGAGUACCUCUGUUUGAUGGUCAGUUAUUUUGUUAGAAGGCUUUAAAGCUAUGGUGAAAAUUGGCAUGUAGAAAGCUGAUACAUGUACAAUUAAGGAUAUACCUGGUUUCUAUGAAGUUAAACUUAAGGUAAAAUAUUUAGAAAGCUGUGAAAAUUGCAAAAUUUGGUUGAACAGAUAGGGAUUUUUAAUUGGUGGUCUGACACCUUUAAGAGAAAUGAGAUGAAACCCAAAAUUCAGAAAACAAUUGAUUUUUUGGUCUUAACUGAUCAUUUGAAAUAAUAGUAGCCACAUUUUAAUCUUUUUUGUAGCAAAAAGUCAUAAAUUGCAAAUUUAGAGCCUUAAACAUGAAUGUGUGCUAUUUUUAGCUUUUCCCACCCUGACAAUAUGCUUUCAUAUAAAAAAUGUUAUAAAUUGUUAUAGAUGCACAGUAAGCUGUUUCUGUGGUGUUAAACAUUUAAACAUAGGUUGAUUGCUACCCAAAAAAAAUUGUCGUCAUGAAGCUUUGAUGAAAUUAUUUGAUUUUUACCCCUUAUAUAUCAUUGCGGCAUACCAUGUAUAUGGCAGUUAACAUAGCCUGAUAUAAACACUGCAUAAACUCACAAAAAUCUCAUUUAUUAUCCCAAAUUAAAGUUUUAUACUUUAAAUUUUAUUGACUGAUAGUAAAUAAAACAGUUAAAUGACCAUGACUGCACUUUUGAUCAGUUAAUAGUCCCAUUACUGACACCAGGUGUAAAAAAGGGGGUCAAUAUUCCUUGACUCUUCAAUACCUUGGAUUUUUUAUUAAACUUAUUGUAAAAAUUGUGGAAAGUCUUUAAAGCAGUAGAACAAACAAGGAAAAAUCAACAAAAGCUGAUCUUGAUAUUGAAAGUUUAUGUUUCUCUAGUCCAAAAUGAGAUUUUCAAGUAUUUUCUAUCAAAGGCUUACAUUACAGUCAGUUUAAAUUGAGCUGUGAAAUUUGUUAUAUGAGUCGCAUUAUGCUCAGAAAGGAUGUUUUUAACUUCAAAUUGACUAAGGAUUAAGAAUAAACAAAACAAAAGAUUUCUGAUCAACUUUUUUUGCUCUUUAGGUGUCAGACCACCAAUUACUCCUCCAAUUUAGAACGUAUGUAAAAGUAGCCCUACUCUGACACAAAAUAGUGCUUUUGAUGUCCUUGUUUACUUAAACUAACCAACAAAUUUGCAGAAAUGCAACUUUUGGCGAAAGAGAAAUAUAUCUAGAUCAUUUUGAGCCAAAAUUUACUUGUCUAUGAGUUUGCAUUAAAAAUUGAGGAUCAAUGCGCUCCAUAGUAUACUAAUUUUAGAUUUCCAGAAAACCAGGUUUUUGUUUUGGAGUACCUCUGUUUGAUGGUCAGUUAUUUUGUUAGAAGGCUUUAAAGCUAUGGUGAAAAUUGGCAUGUAGAAAGCUGAUACAUGUACAUAUUAAGGAUAUACCUGGUUUCUAUGAAGUUAAACUUAAUGUAAAAUAUUUAGAAAGCUGUGAAAAUUGCAAAAUUUGGUUGAACAGAUAGGGAUUUUUAAUUGGUGGUCUGACACCUCUUUUUUCUCGUUUUUCACCCAAAAUAACUCAAUCUGAAUAAUCAUAUGAAUGGAUGACAAAUACGAUUAUGCACUGUACCCAUAGGACACAGAGGCAUGAUGAUUAAUUUAUUGUGGAAAGAAGAGAAGCGACACCCAAAAUGAGGUCUUCUCGUUUAAUAGUAUAGAUUGUCUCCAAACUGGGUAAAUUUGAUAUAGUAACACCCCACCCCCCUUUUUUUUAAAAUAACUCGAGAACCACACAUCUCGCUCGCUUAACAAAGUAACAAUAAGAAAUAAUUAUUGUUAGUUUCAAGAAUAAUUAAUCGUCAAAACUUAUCCCCUCCCCGACAUCAAAGGAAGUUAAAUGUGAGCCAAAAUUUGUUCCUGUGAAAAAAGUUCCAGUGGAACUAUUAUCACAGGAAAUAUGUUCUGGGAGAACUUUUUUCAUAUAUAAUUUCAAUAUAAUUUGUUCCAUCUAUAUGAAAUAAGUUCCACACUUUACCUGGUGAAAUAAGUACCAGGUUGGUGAAAUUUGUUCCUUGCCUAGUGAAAUAGGUUCCAGGUUUAUGAGAUUUGUUCCUUACCUGGUGAAAUAAGUUCUGGGUUUGUGAAAUUUGUUCCUCACCUGGUUAAAUAAGUUCCUAGUCUGUGAAAUAUGUUCCACUGGUUAAACAGGUUAUGUUAUAUACUGAACAUUUGUCAUCAAUGAGUUUAAAGUUAUCAUUCAAGUGCAUUAUAAAAAUAAGUAUAUUAUAUUCAUUUGAUAAUAUAAUACUGAAAUGAAAAAUGUAAAUCAUCCAAUAAGAAUCUUGUGGACUAUAGCAAAUGUUUAAUUAUAAACGUAAAAAAUAUCAAAAUGACAGUCCCACUUUGAGCCAGAAAAGAGUAGGAUAAGAAAAAUCUUUCAGAAAAAAUUAAAGUCAAAGAUGAACAUGAACAUAUGAACUAAUUUGAAAAGGACAAAAUAACUGAUUAAUGAUUCCAAAAGACAUGAAGAAACAAAAGACACACUCUUUUGAAACUGUUCCAUGACAAGUACAUGUAUGACUAGAAACAGGGCCAUGACAGUUAACAGGAACCAAGGAGGAAUACCACAUAAAACAUAGAUACAAAUUAUGAUAAAUUACCAUCGCUUUAUCCUGUAGAACUUUACAGUCAUGUCUACAAUAAUUGCACAUGUAUCCCAUGCCAGCACACUCAGUACAGCAUUUAGCAUGUUUAGCUUGCUUUAUAAUUUAAGUGUAACAAGAAAAUGUUUCGCUGUGCAAUAUGUUGCAAAGGUACUUAUUUCAGUGAAAAAAGGUUUGAGAAGAACUUAUUCAUUGAUUUCUUUGAAAUAUGUACAUAUUGGUCUUAAACUAAUAUCACAGGAACUUAUUUAAAACUUUUAAUAUUAACUGGAACAAAAUUCAUGGAGCUAUGAUAUUUGUUCCGGAACUUAUUUCAUAUUUGGUCAAAAAAUUAGUUCCGGAACAAAUUUUACAGUGCUGGAACAUAUUUUCUGUGAUAUAAGUUCCGGCGGAACAUAUUUCCUAUGAAAUUAGUUCCAGCGGAACAAAUGUCACGCCGGAACAUAUUUUUUGUUACAUAUUAUCCCAAAAUUAGACCAAAUUUUUAUGAUAUAAGGACGUCUUGACAGGCUAUUAUUUUAUUUUGUUUUGUUGGGUUUUUUUUUGCUUUGACGUCUCCUCCUGUAUGAAAAAAACAUAAUAGACCCCCCCCUUUUUCCCCAUAAUAUAGCUUUUUAAGAAGUCAUAACUAUUUGGACUACCCCUGAAUAUAUUUCAGACAGACUCUUCUCUAAAAAAAUGUAAACAUGAUUUGAGAGAAAUCUUUGGAAUAGUUUUUUUAAAUGAUUUAAUUAUUAUGUCAUGUAUAUAAUUGACAUUAACAUAGUUAUAAACUGAGACUACUAGUAUAACACAUAGUGUUAUAGUAGUCUCAGCUAUAAACUUUCCAUUGUAUUGACCAAUAUGACUAACUCAUAUGCUCUUUCCCAUAAAUGUCACAAUAUCAAUAUAUUACAGUAAAACUGAUAGUUUGAUGACAUUGUUUAAGACUAUUGACCUCAGGUCAGCCUAAACUGAGUUUAAAACUGUAAUUUAUUCAUUAAAACAGUUCAAGACAUGUACCUUCUGAAAUGUGAUUGCAUCAAAAUUAAACCUAAGGCAUAACAUACUUAGUGUGCAGGAAGUGCCACCAAAUAAAUACUGAUUUGUAAAAUUAGAUGAUGAUAUUUGUGAAGGUCAAAAGAUAUUAUAGCUAGUUAUAACUGGUUUUAGAUAUAAAUCUGAGUAAAAGGUUGAUUUAUAUGUGCUCUUUCAUGUUUAGAUUAUAAUUUAAAUUUAAUCUUUUGAAGUUUUUUUUAUAAUAUUAAGACAUUAAAAAUCACAAUUAUUUAUUUAUACACCAAAAAAAUAAUUUUUGUCCUUUUUUUUAGUUGAAUGACUGUACACAAAUCUUAUACACACAUAAUUUUGAUAAUUCUGUAAUGUUUUUUUUCUAUAGCCCCAGAAUGUGACAAAAGACUUAUUAAUCCAGAUUUACAAAAAAAUAGAAAUAGUUCAGCUACCAUAAGACUGCUAUGACAAAAAUUUUGCAGUUUCCAGAAUUUGAGGUAGAGUAUAGUUAGGAAUAGUUUGAUUAUGCAGAUGCUUAGUUUGCC